AGUGUAACACCGAUAUUCAGUGAAAACUAACGAGUAUCUGAAAUGAUCUUAUUUUGCGAGUGAUUCUAGACAUAGUUCAUUUUUAAAAAAUAUUAAUGAACUUAAUGAUUAUUUUUCUGUUUUAUAAUUUGGACAUAGAUAAAAAAACAUGAUAUAUAUGAUUUUUGAUAUUUUAUCAACUAUGUGUUGAGUAAGUUUAGAUAAACGCUAAAAUCUGUCCGGAAUCACU